CGCUAAUGUACCCCGGACUCUGGGAUAGCUACCCGAAAGGGUAGGUAAUACCAGAUAAUAUGCAGCUAUCGCAUGAUAGUUGCCUCAAAGGUCCGCCGGUCUGGGAGCAGGCGAUUUCGUAUCAGCUAGUUGGUGAGGUAACGGCUCACCAAGGCUUUGAUCGUUAGCUGGUCUGAGAGGAUGGCCAGCCACACUGGAACUGAGGCACGGUCCAG
rnacentral:rRNA from 1 species